AGAAAGGUGAGUGUGAAAGAGGAGUGUGGAGAGGGAAGGUAAAAAGUUGACGGAAGGCUGAAGGAUAGAGGAGAAAAGAGGGAGAAAGAAAGCAAAAAGGAGACAAGGAGAUUGUGAAGGAAAAGAAUAGUUAAGGAAGGUGAAAGAUAGAGGUGAGGGCAGGAGAGUGAGCGUAAGAUAGGAAGGGAAGGUGAAAAAAGAAAGGAAGAGAAGGUGAUGAUAAAAAAGGUAGGGAAGGAGAAAAGGAAGGAAUGGAAGGAAAGAGUGGGACGUUGAGAAGGUGAAAACGACAAAAAGAAGUGUGAGGAAAAGAGAAGAGGAAAGGAAGGGAAGAUGAGGAUAGAAAAGGUAGGGAAGGUGAGAAAAAAGGAAGGAAUGGAAGGAAAGAGUGGGACGUUAAGAGUAGAGAAGGUGAAAACAACAAAAAGGAGUGUGAGGAAAAGGGAAGAGGAAAAAAAAAAUGGUGAACAAUGAGAAAAGGAGAAUAAAAGAGGAAAGAAAAGGAGAGGGAGAA